rnacentral:rRNA from 1 species
UACGUAGGGUCCAAGCGUUAUCCGGAAUCACUGGGCGUAAAGCGUGCGUAGGUGGAUGCUUAAGUGAGAUGUUAAAUCGUGUGGCUCAACCAUAUCGAUGCAUCUCAUACUGAGCGUCUAGAGGACGGCAGAGGCAAGUGGAACUCGUAGUGUAGCAGUGAAAUGCGUAGAUAUUACGAAGAACACCAAUGGCGAAGGCAGCUUGCUGGGCCACUCCUGACACUGAGGUACGAAAGCGUGGGGAGCGAACAGG